rnacentral:tRNA from 1 species
GGGGGAUUAGCUCAGUUGGCUAGAGCGCUUGCAUGGCAUGCAAGAGGUCAUCGGUUCGAGCCCGAUAUUCUCCACUA